rnacentral:rRNA from 1 species
AGAGUUAAAUAGUACGUGAAAUUGUUGAAAGGGAAACGAUUGAAGUCAGUCAUGCCGGCGGGAAUCAACUUAGGGGAAACUCUGAGUGCACUUCACGUUUGGCAGGUUAGCGUCGAUUUUGGAUGUCAUAAAAUGAUUGGGGGAAGGUAGCUCCUUCGGGAGUGUUAUAGCACUUGGUAGAUGUGAUGUCCGGGAUCGAGGAUUGCAACGGAUACCCUUUGGGCUAGCCGCCUGAUCUCUAAUUGGUGUUGGGUUACGGACAGCAUGCUGACCGUGAUCUAAUUAUUGGUUAAAAGGUUAGAGCGAGUAUAAAUUCGUUAAGGACGCUGACGUAAUGGCUUUAAACGACC